GAUGAACGCUAGCGGCAGGCCUAAUACAUGCAAGUCGAACGGUGUCUUCGGACACAGUGGCGCACGGGUGCGUAACACGUAUGCAACCUACCUUACAUUGGGGGAUAGCCUUUCGAAAGGGAGAUUAAUACCGCAUAAGACAGUAGCUGGGCAUCCAGCAGCUGUUAAAGAUUUAUCGAUGUAAGCUGGGCAUGCGUCCAAUUAGCUAGUUGGUGAGGUAACGGCUCACCAAGGCAACGAUUGGUAGGGGAACUGAGAGGUCAAUCCCCCACACUGGCACUGAGAUACGGGCCAGACUCCUACGGGAGGCAGCAGUAGGGAAUAUUGGGCAAUGGACGCAAGUCUGACCCAGCCAUGCCGCGUGCAGGAUGAAGGCGUUAUGCGUUGUAAACUGCUUUUAUACAGGAAGAAACGACUCUUGCGAGAGGCAUUGACGGUACUGUAUGAAUAAGCACCGGCUAACUCUGUGCCAGCAGCCGCCGUAAUAC
rnacentral:rRNA from 1 species